AUUGAACGCUGGCGGCGUGCCUAAUACAUGCAAGUCGAGCGGACGAACGGAGCUCUUGCUCCGCUGACGUUGCGGACGGGUGGGUAAUUCCCACGUAUCUGCCCUGUCUAUAGGGAUGACGUCCGUUAGCGAGCGCGAAGAUCGUACCCGUCAUGAUGUUGAACGGCGUGGUUCAUUGGUGAACGCGCUUUUAGCUGUGCCUUAUUGGUGGUACCGGGCCGGAUUAGCUAGUUGGUAAGGUAACGGCUUACCAAGGCUACGAUGCGUAGCUGACCUGAGAGGGUGAUCGGCCACACUGGAACUGAGACACGGUCCAGACUCCUACGGGAGGCAGCAGUAGGGAAUCUUCGGCAAUGGGCGAAAGCCUGAUGCAGCAACGCCGCGUGAGUGAUGAAGGUCUUCGGAUCGUAAAGCACUUUUAGUAGGGAAGAACAAAAGUGAAAUUAUCCAUGGCUGUCUUGACGGUACCUAAACAGAAAGCAACGGCUAACUACGUG
rnacentral:rRNA from 1 species